rnacentral:lncRNA from 1 species
UUGUUAAGGAAAUUCUGGUUAUACUUCAUAACGCUGGGACUGGUUGUAUUUCCUCAGGAUGAUGAUAACAUGCCAAAAUUUUGGUCAUACUUAACAAGACGACUCCAUUUAAUUUUAACCCUGCACACAUUGAACAUAGCUACAGCACGAUCCUGGAGGAGAGUGUUUCAGGCAGAAAACAAAGAAUUAAGCUUUCCUUCACUAUUUUGUUUUCUCCAUAAAAGCACUUAAAAGAGCAGUUGCUGGAGGGGUGGAAGUUGGAGACGCUUUUGGAAGGCAAGUCUCUACACAAGUAGGAAAACUGUUGUGUGGUUCCUCUUUAUUAUGGUAAUUUGUUUGUGUUGAUAAGCACAUUCUUCUGCCCUAAAAACAAAUAUAGGGAACAACAAGGUUUUUGUUGUCCAGGUGUGGAGGAUUUUUUGUUUUGUUUGCUGAGCAUCUUCACCGAGAUGAAAUAGAUAUCAGUAGGUGAAAAAUGUACUAAGAUGACAUGUUUUUGCCUCCACCUAAAUCAUGGUGAACUGUAAAAGCACUUUUUGGCAGUCAAUGCAUUGUCUAGUGCAGACAGUACUUGUACAGAUGACUAACGCUUACUUUUUUUGAACAUCUCCACUUGCUUGCUCGCGUCAGGAUCAAGUUCCUGGGAUUUAUCUUUCAUCCAAAGCAAAGCUUCUCUGUGUUUUGUGCAGGCUUUGUUCCAUAAGGCAUCAGAUACACAGUUUUGUGGCUAAAUGUUGCUAAUUCCUGUGCAAGUGAGACAAGGGCCAAUCUGCAGGUAAAAGAGAGAAAAAAGUAAAAUAUGUAAAGGUCCAAGUGACCAGAAUGUUUGGGGGAAACACGAGAGAAGUGGACUGUAACUACAGUAUAGUUAAAAUUGCAACUUUUAGCAUUCAUGUUUGUCAGUGUUCUCACACAGGCUCACCUCAUUGCCUUGUUAGCACAUGGCAAGAACAGUAGUAAAUGCUGAGCUAACAGUUGAUACAUAAAAUCAAAUUUCUUCCAAUCUAUACCYCUAAGUGUAAAAGUACCAGAGAUGCAUAUUCCAUGAAUGUAACCUUCCUUAACAGGAACCUCCUUGCACACUCAUGGUCUACAGGGCGCCCAAACACUGCAAAUGCCCAGUUUAAGCAAUGCUCGUUUUCUCUCCACCUUCUUCUGUCCAAAA